GACGGAGGGUGCUAGCGUUGUUCGGAAUUACUGGGCGUAAAGGGCGCGUAGGCGGCCGCUUGCGUCGGAUGUGAAAGCCCGGGGCUCAACUCCGGAACUGCCUUUAAGACUGCAUCGCUUGAAUCCAGGAGAGGUGAGUGGAAUUCCGAGUGUAGAGGUGAAAUUCGUAGAUAUUGGGAAGAACACCGAUGGCGAAGGCAGCCAUCUGGACCGACACUGACGCUGAGGCGCGAAAGCGUGGGGAGCAAACAGG
rnacentral:rRNA from 1 species